rnacentral:rRNA from 1 species
AUUGAACGCUGGCGGCAGGCCUAACACAUGCAAGUCGAGCGGAUGAGGAAAGCUUGCUUCUCGAUUCAGCGGCGGACGGGUGAGUAAUGCCUAGGAAUCUGCCUGUUAGUGGGGGAUAACUCGGGGAAACUCGGGCUAAUACCGCAUACGUCCUACGGGAGAAAGUGGGGGAUCUUCGGACCUCACGCUAACAGAUGAGCCUAGGUCGGAUUAGCUAGUAGGUGAGGUAAUGGCUCACCUAGGCGACGAUCCGUAACUGGUCUGAGAGGAUGAUCAGUCACACUGGAACUGAGACACGGGCCAGACUCCUACGGGAGGCAGCAGUGGGAAUAUUGGACAAUGUGCGAAAGCCUGAUCCAGCCAUGCCGCGUGUGUGAAGAAGGUCUUCGGAUUGUAAAGCACUUUAAGUUGGGAGGAAGGGUAUUCACCUAAUACGUGGGUACUUUGACGUUACCAACAGAAUAAGCACCGGCUAACUCUGUGCCAGCCGCCGCCGUAACAC